GCGACUAUGGCGGAAUUGGUAGACGCGCUAGUUUCAGGUACUAGUCGAGGUUUCUCGGUGGAAGUUCAAGUCUUCUUAGUCGCACCA
rnacentral:tRNA from 1 species